rnacentral:lncRNA from 8 species
CGGUGUUCCCUCCUUCAACAGACACUAUCUCUCCAUCUCUGCUGGGCGGUGUUCCCUCCUUCAACAGACACUAUCUCUCCAUCCCUGCUGGGCGGCGUUACCUCCUUCAACAGACACUAUCUCUCCAUCCCUGCUGGGCGGUGUUCCCUCCCCCAACAGACACUAUCUCUCCAUCCCUGCUGGACUGCGUUCCCUCCUUCAACAGACACUAUCUCUCCAUCUCUGCUGGGCAGUGUUCCCUCCUUCAACACACACUAUCUCUCCAUCCCUGCAGGGUGGCGUUCCCUCUUCCAACAGACACUAUCUCUCCAUCCAUGCUGGGCGGUGUUCCCUCCUUCAACAGACACUAUCUCUCCAUCCCUGCUGGACUGCGUUCCCUCCUUCAACAGACACUAUCUCUCCAUCCCUGCUGGGCGGUGUUCCCUCCUUCAAGAGACACUAUCUCCCCAUCCCUGCUGGGCGGCGUUCCCUCCUUCAACAGACACUAUCUCUCCAUCCCUGCUGGGCGGUGUUCCCUCCUUCAACAGACACUAUCUCUCCAUCCCUGCUGGGCAGUGUUCCCUCCUCCUACAGACACUAUCUCUCCAUCCCUGCUGGGUGGUGUUCCCUCCUUCAACAGACACUAUCUCUCCAUCCCUGCUGGGCGGUGUUCCCUCCUUCAACAGACACUAUCUCUCCAUCCCUGCUGGGCGGUGUUCCCUCCUUCAACAGACACUAUCUCUCCAUCCCUGCUGGGCGGCGUUCCCUCCUUCAACAGACACUCUCUCUCCAUCCCUGCUGGGCGGCGUUCCCUCCUUCAACAGACACUAUCUCUCCAUCCCUGCUGGGCGGUGUUCCCUCCUCCAACAGACACUAUCUCUCCAUCCCUGCUGGACUGCGUUCCCUCCUUCAACAGACACUAUCUCUCCAUCUCUGCUGGGCAGUGUUCCCUCCUUCAACACACACUAUCUCUCCAUCCCUGCUGGGUGGCGUUCCCUCUUCCAACAGACACUAUCUCUCCAUCCAUGCUGGGCGGUGUUCCCUCCUUCAACAGACACUAUCUCUCCAUCCCUGCUGGACUGCGUUCCCUCCUUCAACAGACGCUAUCUCUCCAUCCCUGCUGGGCGGUGUUCCCUCCUUCAACAGACACUAUCUCUCCAUCCCUGCUGGGCGGCGUUCCC